rnacentral:miRNA from 1 species
CGCAGUAAUUGUGUGCAGCAUCC